UACAGAGGGGGCAAGCGUUAUUCGGAAUUAUUGGGCGUAAAGAGCUCGUAGGCGGCUCGGUAAGUCGGGUGUGAAACCUCCAGGCUCAACCUGGAGACGCCACCCGAUACUGCUGUGGCUAGAGUCCGGUAGGGGAGCGUGGAAUUCCUGGUGUAGCGGUGAAAUGCGUAGAUAUCAGGAGGAACACCGGUGGCGAAGGCGGCCCUCUGGACGAGUACUGACGCUGAGGCGCGAAAGCGUGGGGAUCAAACAGG
rnacentral:rRNA from 1 species